GGACUAGAUAUUAAGAAAGGAAGACUAGAUACUACUAUCAGAAGAUGUUAUGGUCACUCUAAUUUGAACUGCAUCAUAUUCCUUGGCAUUUCUAAAAUAGGAAUAAAUUUCGAGUUGAGCAGAAUUUAUGGUCACUCUAGUUUGAACUGUAACAUGUUCCUCAUGACCUCUAAAAUAGCAAAUAAUUGCAGAAGACUUGAAAAAGACAACCUGCUGAUUGCACAAACUAGAUACUGGUGGCAGAGGAGUAGAUAUUAAGAAGAGAAGACUAGAUACUACUAUCAGAAGAUGUUAUGGUCACUCUAAUUUGAACUCCAUCAUAUUCCUUGGCAUUUCUAAAAUAGGAAUAAAUUUCGAGUUGAGCAGAAAUUAUGGUCACGCUAGUUUGAACUGUAACAUGUUCCUCAUGACCUCUAAAAUAGCAACAUUCAGAAACCAGAAAUAAGUUCGAAGUGUUCAAAAUAUAGAAUAACUUGGUGCGGAAUAACAGCAAAAACUAGAAUUAGCUUAAUAUGAUCACUAGAACUAACAUUAA